AUCCUGCACUUUUAUGAUCCCUGUGGGUCCCUUCCAACCAAGGAUGUUCUAUGAUUCCAUGACAACUCACACAGUUCCAGUGGCUGUGGCAUUCUCAGCUGUUGUGCAUGCAUCAAUGUCCUGCCUGCAAAUUUAGUUUCUACCUGCUUUGUGUUCUCACCAGUGCUACUGCUUGAUCCCCUGGAGUUUUUACUCUGCAGAACAAUCCUCCAAAAGGAUGGCUAAGGAGUCUAACUGCAGGAUUUUUGGGGAUACCAGGAGUAUGGGUGGUCACCUCCAUGCCAGCAGCAGUCCUCUGUCAGGCAACAGCAAGGACACCUUGCAAUUGCUUGGCAGAAAUAGCUGUGGGACUGGCCCAGAGAAACAGAUGUGGCUUGAUGAGGUUAACAGGUUUCCCGAAAUAGCACAACUCCUCUCUGCUCAAAGAAUCAGAUUGUGCACCAAGAGAGUGAGCCAAAAGAGUAAGUAAUACAAUUUCUCUCUUCUUUUGCACUUUCAGAGACAAUGCUUCUAGACACUACUAAGCAAAAAGGUAAAAUAAAUGUGUAUUAGCGAAACUGUAGUUUAAAAAUUUCGUGGUAACUUCAAAGCUGAUUUGGCAGAACCAUAGACUGGGACUUUGUUGAGGCACAGGUCCCUUAAACCUCCUGACACAGUAAUGUUACUCUAUAGCAGCACCAAAACAGAGUAAAAGAAGUGAGAAAUUAGCAGAGGAACAGAACACCAAGUUCACCACAGACCUGUGUCGGGGCUUUGUUGUUUCCAGGAUAAUCAAGAAAACACAUGCUAUUAACUAAUAAACAAAUUCAUUCUUUUUACUCACAUCCAACCAUUCCCUCCUUCACCCCCCGGACAUGUGCUCGAGCAGAUUAGAAACUGUCAGGCUCCCAGAUAGGUCCAGAAAGGACCUUAAGCACAGCCGUGCCCUGCAGAUAACAUCCUGCCUCUGCUGAAAGCAGGAAAGGGAGCCCAGGGCCACCCCCAACUUCUGACAGCAGAGCAGCUCUGUCGA